AUACUUACCUGGCAGGGGAGAUACCAUGAUCAGGAAGGUGGUUUACUCAGGGCGAGGCUUAUCCAUUUGCACUCUGGAUAUGCUGACCCCUGCAAUUUCCCCAAAUGCAGAAAACUCAACUGCACAAUUCGUGGUAGUGGGGGACUGCAGUUGUGCUCUCCCCUG
ensembl:snRNA U1 U1 spliceosomal RNA